CGCGGGAUGGAGCAGUUGGCAGCUCGUCGGGCUCAUAACCCGAAGGUCACAGGUUCGAGUCCUGUUCCCGCUACUA
rnacentral:tRNA from 4 species